rnacentral:rRNA from 1 species
ACUCCUACGGGAGGCAGCAGUGGGGAAUUUUGGACAAUGGGGGCAACCCUGAUCCAGCAAUGCCGCGUGUGUGAAGAAGGCCUGCGGGUUGUAAAGCACUUUCAGAGGGGAAGAAAAAAUCGGAUCUAACACAUCCGAUCUUGACGUUACCCUUAGAAGAAGCACCGGCUAACUCCGUGCCAGCAGCCGCGGUAAU